rnacentral:rRNA from 1 species
UACGUAGGUGACAAGCGUUGUCCGGAAUUAUUGGGCGUAAAGAGCGCGUAGGCGGUCCGAUAAGUCGGCUGUGAAAGUCCAGGGCUCAACCCUGGAAAGCCGGCCGAUACUGGAUGGCUUGAAUCCGGGAGAGGGAUGUGGAAUUCCAGGUGUAGCGGUGAAAUGCGUAGAUAUCUGGAGGAACACCGGUGGCGAAGGCGGCAUCCUGGACCGGUAUUGACGCUGAGGCGCGAAAGCCAGGGGAGCAAACGGG